rnacentral:rRNA from 1 species
UACGUAGGGUCCGAGCGUUGUCCGGAAUUAUUGGGCGUAAAGAGCUCGUAGGCGGUUUGUCGCGUCUGCUGUGAAAUCCCGAGGCUCAACCUCGGGCCUGCAGUGGGUACGGGCAGACUGGAGUGCGGUAGGGGAGAAUGGAAUUCCUGGUGUAGCGGUGGAAUGCGCAGAUAUCAGGAGGAACACCGGUGGCGAAGGCGGGUCUCUGGGCCGAUACUGACGCUGAGGAGCGAAAGCAUGGGGAGCGAACAGG